UACGUAGGGGGCAAGCGUUGUCCGGAUUUACUGGGCGUAAAGCGCGCGUAGGCGGGAAGAGAAGUCCGGUGGGAAAGCCCACGGCUCAACCGUGGAAGAACGCUGGAAACUCUCUUUCUUGAGGGCGGCAGAGGGAAGUGGAAUUGCUGGUGUAGCGGUGAAAUGCGUAGAUAUUCGCAAGAACACCAGUGGCGAAGGCGGCUCACUGGCCGAUACUGACGCUGAGACGAAGAACGUGGGGAGCAAACAGGGAUUAGAACCCUACCGAC
rnacentral:rRNA from 1 species